UUAAAGGAUGAGAUAGGAGGUCAGCACAGGAUACAGGUCAUAAAGACCUUGCUGAUAAAACAGACUGCAGUAAAGAAGCUGGCUAAAACCCACCAAAACCAAGAUGGCAAUGGGAGUGUUCUCUGGUCAUCCUCACUGCUACACUCCCACCAGCACCAUGUCAGUUGCAGAUGUCAUGGAAAUGUCAGGAAGUUACCCUAUAUGGUCUAAAAAGGAAAGGCAUGAAUAAUCCACCCCUUGUUUAGGAUAUAAUCAAGAAAUAACCAUAAAAAUGGGCAACAAGAAGCCUUCGGGUCUACUCUGUCUAUAGAAUAACCAUUCUCUUAUUUCUCUACUUUUUUAAUAAACUCGCUUUCACUUUAUUCUAUGGACUUGCCCUGAAUUCUUUCUUGCUCAUGAUCCAAGAACCAUGGCUUGGGGUCUGGAUCAGGACCCUUUUCCCCUAACAAUAUAACCCAAACACACCGAUUACGAAGCAGAGAAGAAUCAUGUUCUCAUACUACCUAUUUCUGUGUGUGUUUCCCUCUGUUCUCCCUAAAAUACCUUGUGUAUUCUUAAAGUUUGUAUGAACUGGUUCCUUUACAUUCUCUCCUUUACAUUCAUUAAAGUCCUCCACUCGGAGUGGGUGAAUCAUCUUUUCUUCACUUGACCCCAAAUCUACCAUAAAAUAGCCAUGCUCACAAGAGGGAUUCCUCCACAAAUGUAUGAGCUUGUUUAUAUCUUGAAAGCAGUCAGUUAUUAGUUUUCGAUAUUUAAUCUUUUAUUUAUGAAAGAAGCAAUUAAUUAAUUUAGAAAAUCCAUUGUUGACAAAAAAGUCAAACUCUGUAAAAUAUUUAAAGAGAUUUAUCCUAAGCCACAUAUGAGUGACUUAUGGCCCAUACCUCUCAAGUCCCAAGAAGUCUUGAGAUCAUGUGUUGGAGGUGGAUGGGUUGCAACUUGGUUUUAUACAUUUUUGAGACAGGAGUUACAGGCAAAGACAUAAAUCAAUAUGUGUAAGUGAUCCAUUGGUUCAGCCUGGAAUGGGGGGACAUCUCAAAGUGAAAGAGGCUACAGGACAUAGGUGGCUUUGAAGACUUUUGGAUUGGCAAUUGGUUCAAAGAAUUAAGCUUUGCCUCAUUAAAUCAGCAGAAAGAAAUGUUUGCAUUAAGAUUACAGGAGUUGUGGAAGCCAAGGUUGUUAUUAUGUAGAUGAAGCCUCUAAGUAGCCGGCUUCAGAGAGAAUAAAUGGUAAAUUUCUCUUAUUGGAUCUUAAAAGGUGUUAAAGCCUUAGUUAAAUCUCUCUUGGAUUCAGAAAAGACCAAGAAAGGGAAGUAGAGUCUCUAUAGAAUGCAAUUUCCCACAUGAGGGAUGCCUUUGCAGGGCAAUUUCAACAUAUUUCAAAGAAAUAUAUUUUGGGGUAAAAUACUCUGAUUUUUUUCAUGACCUUUUAUCUGUCAUGAGAUGUUAUACCAGAGUCAGGUUGGAAUUUGGUAUCUUAUUACUAUAAAUAAUCCAUUUUGUCAGUGUCAUCAUCUGUCUUUUAAUGUUAAUGCUGGUCAAUUGUGCAUAAACUCCAAAAGGCAGGGGUUACAAUAAGACAUGUCUGAUCUUCCUUUCCAUCAUGAACUAAACAUGUUUUUCAGGUUUGAGAUCCCCUUGGCCAAGAGGAGGAUCCACUGAGUCUGUCAGAGGGCACAGAAUUUUACUUUUGAUGUACACCUUUCUUACAAAACGUCUGUAUCUAUGUACAUCAAAUGCUUACAUCUACUAGAAAGUUUACGUCUCUUGAACUAAUUUCAAAAGAAAACAAUUUCUUUCUUGUGUUUCCCCCAAAACAUGAAAGGUAUACAAAUUCUAAUUCUUGAUCAGCCCUUCUUUCCCCCACAUCUAUCAUCUUUUCUUAAAAACCUUGGUUGUUCCAGCAUACCUCUCCUCAGCCCCAACCCCAAGCUGUGUGGAAUUUGCUAUUUCUGUAAUCAUCCUGCACUCAGAAUGAAUUUAGUCUUUCAAAAGUAAACACUUCUUCCCAUAAUUGACAUUUCUAGUCUCUUACACCCAAUUUUUAUUCUGUUGUUUUAGGAGUUGAGAAGAAUGCCUCCAAGAGUUGGGUUUUGAAGUCAAGAUUCUAAAUCUUCUUUGAGGAAGAAGGCAGGUCAGACCUUACAGUGGGAACUGCAUUCACUGAUUUGGAAAUGUAAACGUAAUUGGAAUAAUUGGAUUCCAGUGUCACAAGAGCCAAGUUUUAGCUCUCGACUGCAAAUGGCAGGUGUUGUUACCAUAAUGGAAAGCAGAGUGAAAGCAACAAUCAGAAUAAUCUGACU
rnacentral:lncRNA from 1 species